CUUGUCCUCAUCUGCAAGUCGCUUUGGAUAAAAGCGUCUGCUAAAUGACUAAAU
rfam:Danio rerio chromosome 14 genomic contig CTG1487, GRCz11 reference primary assembly.